UACGUAGGUGGCGAGCGUUGUCCGGAUUUACUGGGCGUAAAGAGCGCGCAGGCGGUCGUUCAAGUCGCGUGUGAAAGCCCCCGGCUCAACUGGGGAGGGUCACGCGAUACUGAUCGACUCGAAGGCAGGAGAGGGUAGUGGAAUUCCCGGUGUAGUGGUGAAAUGCGUAGAUAUCGGGAGGAACACCAGUGGCGAAGGCGGGUCUCUGGACAGUUCCUGACGCUGAGGCACGAAGGCCAGGGGAGCAAACGGG
rnacentral:rRNA from 1 species